ACGGAAGGCAGCAGUGGGGAAUAUUGCACAAUGGGCGCAAGCCUGACGCAGCGAUGCCGCGUGAGGGAAGAAGGUUUUCGGAUUGUAAACCUCUGUCAACAGGGACGAAAAUGACGGUACCUGUGAAGGAAGCUCCGGCUAACUACGUGCCGGCAGCCGCGGUAAUACGUAGGGAGCAAGCGUUAUCCGGAAUUACUGGGUGUAAAGGGAGUGUAGGCGGGACUGUAAGUCAGAUGUGAAGUAUGCCGGCUCAACUGGCAGACUGCAUUUGAAACUGCGGUUCUUGAGUGAAGUAGAGGUAAGCGGAAUUCCUAGUGUAGCGGUGAAAUGCGUAGAUAUUAGGAGGAACAUCAGUGGCGAAGGCGGCUUACUGGGCUUUAACUGACGCUGGGGCUCGAAAGCGUGGGGAGCAAACAGGAUUAGAUACCCUGGUA
rnacentral:rRNA from 1 species